UAGCUCAGCUGGAUAGAGCAAGCGCCUCCUAAGCGCUAGGUCGGAGGUUCGAAUCCUCU
rnacentral:tRNA from 1 species